rnacentral:lncRNA from 1 species
GCCAAAUUUGUUCAUUACAUAUUCAUGUGAAUGUCAUACUACUGAUUGUUGAACUGAGAUACUUACAUAGAUUAACAUUUCCAUAUGUGGGAGUGAUAAUUACAUAGAUUUACAUACUAUUUUAAAUUAGACAAAAAUAUAUGCAUUUUUCAUGCUUGGAUCUUCUGGACCAUCUUUGAUCAAAAUCACCUGUUACAUUCAAAAUGAGGGAUUAAAUGUCAGCACAGAAUCACAUUAAGUUAUACAACACAUGAUAUAUCUGUUAGCAAGUCUAGGAUCUAUAAAUAAUACAAUCUAACUUUACAAUAGGCACUAAACACAGCAGCAAAAAAUGUAACGCUAAUAAUAGAAGCACUGUAAAUCGUAUGGCUAAGACAUUUAACUUUCAACAAACUUACAUAUUUUUUCCUUCUGAACAACAACAUACCCAGUGCAAUUUCACAGGUGGGGCCUGGUGAGGGUAGGAAUUUUAUAAGAAAAGGUUAUAGGAAGAUUU